GUGAAAUGACCAAAAAACAAGGGAUCAAAUUUGACUCAGACUAAUGAAGGUUCUACACUCACCUGAAACCUUUGGAGCUUUGGAUUUGGACUGGGACUAUAGCUGUUGACCAACAUGGAAAGGAUUUAGCUAAAAAGCAGUUCCAUUAAAAAUUGUCCCAAUUGCUCAGUCACUUCCAUUUGGCAAGCCAGUGAUAAGCAUCCUUAUUUUUCUGAUUGGUUCAGUCGGGGUAAAGCAUCACACGAAAGAGGCCAAGGUCUAGCGUUUGAUUCCCCC